UUAAGUUCAGCGGGUAUCCCUACCUGAUCCGAGGUCAAACCAUAGAAGUAGUUUGGGUUGUCCGGCGGGCGGCGCCCACGCUCCGAAGCGGAUAGAAUUGACUACGCUGGGAGGUUGACACCACUGCCUACGGGUUUCGGACACGUCCGUGAGGACGAGGUCCAAUACCAAGCAGAAGCUUGAGGUUUGAAAUGACGCUC
rnacentral:misc_RNA from 1 species